GAUUCCCCUAGUAACUGCGAGUGAAAAGGGAAGAGCCCAGCGCCGAAGCCGCCGUCCAUUAAAGUGGGCGGAGGGCAAUGUGGCGUUAAGGAAGAGCCUCCUUGACCUGACGUUUCGUUGUUCGGACCGCGGGAGCCUGAGUCCCCCUGACCGGGGCCACUGCCCAUGGCGGGUGCAAGGCCUCUUCGGCUCCGUUCGAUGGUUCGAAGGUUGCUGGCUUCUUUCCUCAGAGUCGGGUUGCUUGAGAGUGCAGCCCUAAGCGGGUGGUAAACUCCACCUAAGGCUAAAUAUUACCACGAGACCGAUAGCGAACAAGUACCGUGAGGGAAAGUUGCAAAGAACUUUGAAGAGAGAGUUCAAGAGUACGUGAAACCGCUCGGAGGCAAACGGGUGGGCCCUCGAAGGUCGAACGGGGGGAUUCAGCCUGUCGGCGAGCGCUUACUUGACCGUUGAAAAGCAUUCGUGCGAAACGGAUCCGAAAUCAAAACGGACCGGGCGGCUAGGUUACGGCGUUUGUCGGCUCGUGCACUUCCCCCUUAGUAGGACGCCGCGACCGGUUGGGUGAAAAAAAGAACGUAAUGUUUUUGCGGCCAUGAGGCGAGAACGAUCACGGGGGCAGGUGUCCGUUUCCGCGGGUUUCGCUUGUUCGGCUUUGCGGCCGGCUCGCGUCUUCCAGGUUCGGAGUUACAGCCCCUUCUCGACCCGUGCACCGCCACCCGACCGACAAAUGGUCACGAAAUCCGUUGACGCGUGCCCGCGACGCACCCUUCUCCUCACGGGGAGGGGUCGCGUACGCUCGCCCUAAUCCAGGGCAGGCUGGAUGCGCGAGUAAAAGUUCCCCGUGAAAUCCCCGUUUUUAAACACGGGCGGGGGAAUCCGGCGGUCGCCGAAAGCAAAAAACCGAAAAGGCGGCCGUCGGCUCCGCGUCUGCCGUUGCGCCCACGUGGAGCUGGAAUCUGGCGUAGUGGCAAAUGAAAAACGCUCGCGGUCGGCGNNNNNNNNNNNNNNNNNNNNNNNNNNNNNNCGAUGGCGAAAUGAAAGUAAAGGCUGGCCCCUUCCUCUCUUCUCUGUUUUCUCUUCGUUGAGCCCUCUCGGGGGUUCGCGAGGGGCGAGCGAGCGGAGCAAGGUCGGGGAGUGCAUAAACGGCCGAGGCGAGAUCCUAAAUGAGCCCGCCCGCUCGGCAUUCGCGUGUCGUUGCGCGGCGCGGCGAAAUUUGAAAAAGAAACCGGACAUGGCAGGCACGUCGCGGGGGGCGAAACAAACACCCGCGGCGGUCCGGAGGCGCAUCGCCGGCCCGUCUCGAUCGCAUCCGAUCUUUUUCCUUCGCUUUUCCAUGGUCGCGUUGCCGCGCUGCUCGGACAUUUUUUUUUUCUUUUUUUCCUCUUCGCGGGGGAGAGAGAGGAGGAAUUUUGUACCUUGCGGCGGCGGGUAGCCGGUCGCCGGAUGCGUUGGGAACUGGGAGGAACUACUAGUCGACGAGGCGGAGCAAGAGCACACACGUUGGGACCCGAAAGAUGGUGAACUAUGCCCGGGCAGGACGAAGCCAGAGGAAACUCUGGUGGAGGUCCGCAGCGAUUCUGACGUGCAAAUCGAUCGUCGGACCUGGGUAUAGGGGCGAAAGACUAAUCGAACCGUCUAGUAGCUGGUUCCCUCCGAAGUUUCCCUCAGGAUAGCUGGCACUCGGAGAUAAAAAUGAAACAGUCUCAUCCGGUAAAGCGAAUGAUUAGAGGCAUUGGGGCCGAAACGGCCUCAACCUAUUCUCAAACUUUCAAUGGGUGAGAUGUCCGGCUUGCUUAACCGUAAUGCUAAAAAACGGGGGUGAGCCGGCGGUGAGAUCGGAUUUCGCGGCGUCAAAACCGCGUUUCCUUUAUCCCGUCGGUUUCGGCCUUGAAGCACGGACGUAGGAUGCGAGUGCCCAGUGGGCCACUUUUGGUAAGCAGAACUGGCGCUGUGGGAUGAACCAAAAGCCGGGUUACGGCGCCCGAUGCGGACGCUUAUCAGACCCCAUGAAAGGUGUUGGUUGCUAUUGACAGCAGGACGGUGGCCAUGGAAGUCGGAAUCCGCUAAGGAGUGUGUAACAACUCACCUGCCGAAGCAACUAGCCCUGAAAAUGGAUGGCGCUCCAGCGUCGAGCCUAACCCCGGCCGUCGGAAGGCAUUGAAAAUAUUUGACAAAAAAACGAUGCCCCGGCGAGUAGGAGGGUCGCGGUGGUGCGCGUUGAAGGGAUCGGGCGUGAGCCUGCCUGGAGCCGCCACCGGUGCAGAUCUUGGUGGUAGUAGCAAAUACUCGAGUGAGAACCUUGAGGACUGAAGUGGAGAAGGGUUCCAUGUGAACAGCAGUUGAACAUGGGUCAGUCGGUCCUAAGGAAUAGGGGAAACCCGUUCCGAAAAAGAACCGGGACAUCGAAAAAUGAGAGAAAAUGACCGGUGACGACCGAAAGGGAAUCGGGUUAAUAUUCCCGAACCCGGAUGCGGAGAUCGACCCUUAACGGGGUCUAAAGCGGUAACGCGUAACGAACUCGGAGAAUGCCGGCGGGGGCCCCGGGAAGAGUUUUCUUUUCUUUGUAAAGGACGGACUCCCUGGAAUCGGCUCGCCCGGAGAGAGGGAUGUUGUUCCUGUAAAGCACCGCGGCUCUUGCGGUGUCCGGAGCGCUCUCGUCGGCCCUUGAAAAUCCGAGGGAGUGAAUGAAUGAUUUCCGCACCGGACCGUACCCAUAUCCGCAGCAG
rnacentral:rRNA from 1 species